GACGAACGCUGGCGGCGCGCUUAACACAUGCAAGUCGAACGGAAAGGCCUGCUUUCCCUUGUGGAUUGCGGGUACUCGAGUGGCGAACGGGUGAGUAACACGUGAGUGAUCUGCCCCCAACUUGGGUAUAAGCCUGGGAAACUGGGUCUAAUUCCCGAUAGGACUGCAGGGUGGUGCCUGUGGUGGAAAACGAUUUUCUAGUGGUUGGGGAUGAGCUCGCGGCCUAUCAGCUUGUUGGUGGGGUAAUGGCCUACCAAGGCGGCGACGGGUAGCCGGCCUGGGAGGGUGGGCGGCCACAUUGGGACUGAGAUACGGCCCAGAAUCCUACGGGAGGCAGCAGUGGGGAAUAUUGCACAAUGGGCGGAAGCCUGAUGCAGCGACGCCGCGUGGGGGAUGACGGCCUUCGGGUUGUAAACUCCUUUCGACCGCGAGGAAGCCACCUGGUUGGAAGGGUGGUGACGGUAGUGGUAGAAGAAGCACCGGCUAACUACGUG
rnacentral:rRNA from 1 species